ACCCGCUGAACUUAAGCAUAUCAGUAACGGCAGGAAAAGAAAAUAACAAUGAUUCCCCUAGUAACUGCGAGUGAAGUGGGAAGAGUCCAACGUUGAAAGCUGUAUCUCUAGUCGGAUACUGCAUUGUAACGUAUAGACCUGUCAUCGAGAUGAGGGCCGGUUUCAAAGUUGCAUAGAAUGGCACACCAUAGAGGGUUAAAGUCCCGUAAAUGAAACCGGCAAACAACAUCAUCAAGCAUGACAGAGUCAAAGAGUCGGGCUGUUUGGGAAUGCAGUCUAAAGUGGGUAGUAAACUCCAUCUAAGACUAAAUAUAACUCCGGGACCGAUAGCGAACAAGUACCGUGAGGGAAAGUUGAAAAGCACUCAGAAAUGAAAGUGAAAAGGGCGUGAAACCGUUAAUGGGGAAGCGAACGAUGGAAUCAAAGUGACUUGCUGUGGGUGUGCGUCAUCCUCACAAGGAUACGUAACAGGUAGCAGCAAGUUACGCGCCGGACUCACUGUUUAAAGGGGCUGGCACCCAAUACAGUUGUAGAUAUAGAGUUUUUCAUGAGAUUUUCUCCGAUUUACAAUGUAUUGGUGUUGUUGUAGAGUCUCAAAAUAGUGUUUGAUGUGUGAUGCCCUGUUGAAUGACACAUGUGUGUGUGUGGUCACAUGGUAAUUUUGUGUCGGGUCGGGAAUACCUGGCCCGGCAAAGGUUGUUGUUAGGCCAUGCACAUGCAUGUGCUAUUCAGUAGAGCGCUUCAACAGAAGCACACGUAAUUCCGGCGAGAUAUGCUAUUGUUCGACCCGUCCUUGAAACACGGACCAAGGAGGCUAACGUAUGCGCGAGUCCGAGGAGUUGAGAAACUCUUGGGCGCAACGAAAGUGAAAUGUGAGAUCCCCUCCGGUGCAAACCGGGGGCGCACCACAGACCAGUUGGAAGAUUGACUACAAUUGAGUUGUAGCGUAUACGAUAGGACCCGAAAGAUGGUGAUCCUAUGCUUGAGUAGGCUGAAUUCAUUGGAAACAAUGAUGGAAGGCCAUAGCGGUUCUGACGUGCAAAUCGAUCGUAAAACUUGAGUAUAGGGGCGAAAGACCAAUCGAACCAUCUAGUAGCUGGUUCCCUCCGAAAUAUCCCUCAGGAUCGCCGGAGUCCGUCUAGGCACAGUUUCAUCGGGUAGAGCGAAUGAUUAGAGGUGUAAGGGUCGUUUCUGGCCUUUAACUAUUCUCAAACUGCAAACCGGUGAUACAGUGAGCCGUUUCUUGAGUGAACGUGCACACUAGAAUGUGAGGACUCUGAGUGGGCCACUUUUGGUAAGCAGAACUGGCGAUGCGGGAUGAACCGAGAGUCAGGUUAAGGUGCUCAAGUGAAGGCUAAUGGACACCACAAAAGGAGUUGAUAAAUGAUAACAGUGAGGCGGUUGCCCUGGAAGUAGGAAUCCGCUAAGAAACGUGUAACAACGUACUUACCGAAUUUAUCGGCCCUGAAAAUGGAUAGCGCUCAGCCUUACACCGAUACCUGACCGUAGACGCGAGAAAUGACGUCUAUGGGUAGGAGGGUGUUGUGGUCGCAGCGAAGAAUGUAUGUGAAUGCAUUUGGAGCGGCCACAAGUACAGAUCUUGGUUUUAGUAGCAGCAGCAUAGAAGUGAGAACCUUCUAGGCCGAAGUGGAGAAGGGUUCCUCGUGAACAGCAGUUGGACGAGGGUUAGUCGGUCCUGAGA
rnacentral:rRNA from 1 species